UUUCCGUUAGCGGCGGCGGGAAUCUAGGUGCUGGCUGCCGACUAGGCCUCUGUGGAAGCGAAUCCGGCGGGAAUCUGAGCCAUCCGAGCCGCCACCAUGACGGUGGGCAAGAGCAGCAAGAUGCUGCAGCACAUCGACUACAGGAUGAGGUGCAUCCUGCAAGAUGGCCGGAUCUUCAUCGGGACCUUCAAAGCUUUUGACAAGCAUAUGAACUUGAUCCUCUGUGACUGUGAUGAGUUCAGGAAGAUCAAGUGUGAGGGGGGAGAGCUUGAUUUUCUGGCCUCAUUACCUAUUUGUAAAGCUGUAGCCUAAAGGGCUCUCCUAAUGCAGCCUGGUCUGAAACUGCUUUAAGAAGCCUCUGACCCUCUUCAGGGCCAAAGAACUCCAAACAAGCAGAAAGAGAAGAGAAGCGAGUCCUUGGUCUGGUGUUGCUUCGAGGAGAGAACCUGGUCUCCAUGACAGUAGAAGGACCUCCUCCCAAAGAUACUGGCAUUGCCCGAGUGCCACUUGCUGGAGCUGCUGGGGGGCCAGGCAUCGGCAGGGCUGCUGGCAGAGGAAUCCCGGCGGGUGUGCCCAUGCCCCAGGCUCCUGCAGGGCUUGCUGGACCAGUGCGAGGUGUUGGAGGGCCGUCCCAGCAGGUGAUGACCCCACAAGGAAGAGGCACUGUGGCAGCUGCUGCAGCUGCAGCCACAGCCAGUAUUGCAGGAGCCCCAACUCAGUACCCACCUGGUCGUGGGGGUCCUCCUCCACCUAUGGGCCGAGGGGCACCUCCU
rnacentral:lncRNA from 1 species